UACGAAGGGGGGCUAGCGUUGCUCGGAAUUACUGGGCGUAAAGCGCACGUAGGCGGAUUGUUAAGUCAGGGGGUGAAAUCCUGGGGCUCAACCCCAGAACUGCCUUUUGAUACUGGGCGAUCUCGAGUCCGGAAGAGGUGAGUGGAACUCCUAGUGUAGAGGUGGAAUUCGUAGAUAUUAGGAAGAACACCAGUGGCGAAGGCGGCUCACUGGUCCGGUACUGACGCUGAGGUGCGAAAGCGUGGGGGAGCAAACAGG
rnacentral:rRNA from 1 species